UCUGCGAGAACCAAGCACAGCGUCCGCGGAACAUCGCGGCGGGAGCCGCCCUGAGGGGAGGAGAGGACAGAGGGAACCGCCCUGAGGGGUACGGCCUUGAGAGGCUGGAAGGAGGUGGGAACCGCCCUGAGAGGAGACGAGGGCGGGAACGGCCGUGAGGGGAGCGGCCGUGAGGGACUUGGGGGGCGGCGGGAAACGCCCUGAGGGGAACUGCCCUGAAGGGAAACGAGGGCGGGAACGGCCGUGAGGGGCUGGAAAGGAGGCAGGAACGGCCGUGAGGGGAAACGAGGGCAGGAACGGCGGUGAGGGGCUGGAAACGAGGCAGGAACGGCCGUGAGGGGCUGGAAAGGAGGCAGGAACCGCCCUGAGGGGAAACGAGGGCGGGAACGGCCGUGAGGGGCUGGAAGGAGGCGGGAGGGCCGUGAGGGGAAGCCCGGCGAGAAGGAGAAUGGCUGGAGCUGCGUCAGGGAGCUGGAUAUUAGGGAAAGGUUCUUCCCCCACAGCCACAGAGCGGCCAGGCACUGGAACAGCGCCCCAGGGCAGCCCCAAGCCUGACAGGGCUCAAAGGGCACUUGGAAAACACGCUGAGGCACAGGGCGGGGUUUUGGGGUCUCCGUGUAGAGCUAGGAGUUGGACUCGAUCCUUGUUCUCGCAGAAGCUUUUCUCAGAAAAACCCUUGCAUUUUGCUGAUUCCGGAAACUGCUUGCAGAAAAAUUGCUUUUGUUUCAUAAAGCACUAAUGAGGCUUGUUUCAUGCUUGAAGCUUCCCAAGAUAUCCCUCAGGAUAACCCGUCCCCUGGGAACUGUUGCCAGCAGCAGCAGCAGCACAGCAAGAUCCUGAGUACCUCAGUAGCCCAAGGACGCUGGAUAAAACAGAGAAAGUAUUUCUGGACAUGGUCCUGAAAUCCAGCAGUUACAGGAAAUGAGCCUCUGGUGUGGUCACGUGUUGUUUUCCCACAGACAGGGGAUUUUUAAGUAAACUGUCAAAGUGUUUCCUAAGUAGGAACAGAAAAAUCCCACAGAUGCAAUCAGAGCAAACCUCCCCAGUGUAGGAAGAUGAUGAUGGGUCCUUUGGAGACAGGGUGACUCCACAUUGCCGCCACUGAAUCUUCAGUUUCUGCAGUUAUCUCCACUCCUGUCCUAAUUAGGGUGAAGCUCUCUUGGUGGAGUGGUUACCCAACAAUUAUUCUGGUGCUCUUGAGGAUAGGAAAGGUGGAGCUGAGGUGGUGGAAAGCACUUUGGUGGCCCUUCAUGAUCCAGGGGAGGAGGCCAGGACAUGUUCCACAGCUCCUCUGGCUCACACAGCACCCAGUGCUGCUCCUCCACUGGGGUGUCUGGGAGAGAGGCUGAAACCUUUUCCUCUCUCCAAGGCCACCUUCUCUCACACAGGGAGCACUGCUGGGCCUGCCUGAGUGUAUCUGGUGCUGCAGGCUGAGCUGUGUCCUGCAGUCCCGUGCUGACAUGAGCACUGUGCACAAGCCCCCAGCCCCGACAGCCCUGCCUGUCCUGCCUGAUGAAUCGCAAAAGGGAUUCCCGUCACAGGGCCCUGCCCCUCAGCAACCUACCAUGUGGGUGUUGCAUGUGCAACAGCCUGGAUUUGCCUAAUCCCUAACAAAAACACUGGUUAUAACAAAAAUAGCUAUGGAACAAGACAAUAUCAAUCAAAAAUCCCAAGAGUAUGUUCUGUGACACCAUCACAGCAAAUCUUAAUAUACGAAAGAAGAGACAUGAGAUGCCCUGAGUCACCAGGAUCACUUGAUCCCACACAAGUGAUCCUGGUUAAAAUAAAAACGACCUGAUGGCAGCAGCAUUGGUUUUGGGUAGUGUGAAUCCCCCACAGUGUAAGAGAGGGCUGGCCCCAACUGCACUUCUCCGUGGGCUCAAGCACAGAGAAAACCAGAACUGAAAUUCACCAGCACACACAUCUGCUUCCCCCAGGCUCAGCUUUACACCACACACUCCAAGAGGCAUCUGCCAGAGUUCUCCCCAUUAGAGUGAGCACCAUCCCCUGCCAUCGCUCCUUCUAUGUCCCACCUUGUGUCCCCAAGGUUCUUCAUCCCUUUUUAAACCUUGUGCCUUCCCUUCAGAGCCAUGCAGGAGCCUCCAGCCAGGCAGAUACCACACCAGCAAAAAAACGUCUUUAAUUCUGUUUUAUUGAUGGAAAAGUGUUCUUGCAUCUUCUCAGUGGGAUAAAAAAAGCACAACUGCCCAUCAUGCCACCAAGGCCACAUACCCACCCACAACACAGAGGCCAUCAGAGCCUGUGAAAUCAGCUUGUCAAGUCACUCUGAAGAAACAUUUUAAGGACUAGCAGUUUAUUAAGGGAUAAAAAUUCUGCAAAAUUUUGAGCAGUGAAAAGUUAUCAUUAUUUUUUAAGCAGCAGUGGGGGCAUUAUUAGCUACACGCUCAAAAGGCCUGCGGAGCCCCCUUGAUGCUGUGGCUAAGUAGUAUUUUUAACAAGGCUUAUUAGCAAAUUUCUGAAAGGAAGUUGAUCAGUCUUGUGGCUAUGAUGAAGAA